rnacentral:tRNA from 1 species
GCUUUAGUGGUGUAAUGGUAGCACACUCGGCACGUAUUCAAGAGGCACAGGUUCGAGACCUGGCAAGAGCA